rnacentral:rRNA from 1 species
UACGAAGGGGGCUAGCGUUGCUCGGAAUCACUGGGCGUAAAGGGUGCGUAGGCGGGUCUUUAAGUCAGGGGUGAAAUCCUGGAGCUCAACUCCAGAACUGCCUUUGAUACUGAGGAUCUUGAGUUCGGGAGAGGUGAGUGGAACUGCGAGUGUAGAGGUGAAAUUCGUAGAUAUUCGCAAGAACACCAGUGGCGAAGGCGGCUCACUGGCCCGAUACUGACGCUGAGCACGAAAGCGUGGGGAGCAAACAGGG